rnacentral:rRNA from 1 species
CUUGUACACACCGCCCGUCACACCAUGGGAGCGGGUUCUGCCAUAAGUAGUUAGCCUAACCGCAAGGAGGGCGAUUACCACGGCAGGGUUCGUGACUGGGGUG